AAGUUGGGCAAGCUGUAACGAGACAUCUUUUCGCUUCCAUUCUGCCAUUAGGACACGGCCGUCCACCCUUAGCGGGGGUGGGGUUAUUACAAGUUCUGUUCCUACGUUGAUAACCCUGUCCACAUGACUUGCUGCAUCGACUCCAGGAAGACCAUGUACUCCAAGCGCCGUGUAUUGCAACUGUACUACUAGAAUCCUCGGUCGCUUGUGGUGGUGCCUCUUUAACAACGGCAGCGAAAGCUGCUACCU
rnacentral:lncRNA from 1 species